UAAGGUGAUGAAUCAAUUAGUUUUGGGGAAGUUCUAAUAAUUUUUCAGACUUUUUUAGUCUCACUAUUUUUCAUUGCCUUUUCCGGCCAUCCUCGCCGGAGCAUUUUCCUACGGGCCACCAAAACUUCACUGUUCCUCCUCCUCUCUUCCACUAAAUCACCAUCAAAAUACGACUAAAUCCAUCUGUUAACAACAACAACAACAACGAAAACUACCCAACAACACAACAGCAAACCAAAUACACCCAUCUCCCUCUUCUUCAUUUUCCAGAUGAAAACUCGCCGGAACACCGCGAACCUGACCCUUCUUCAAACCAAAACAUCACCAGAAAACACCUAAAACAGCCACCCAACAAUAUCAAACCCAAACCAAUCGGACAACGCCUGAAACACCACCAAACAACCACCAAAAAAGGGACCUCCAUCCGAUCCUAAACCCCAUUCAUUUUUCUCCGUUUUCCGGCGAACAUUCCACUAACCAACCUUUUCCGACCCCAAAACUACCCAAACCCAUUCUUUCUUUUUUCUCCGGCGAAACCUAAUCGGAGAACCACCAUCGCUCCACCAUUUUCUCCGGUAAGGUCCAUUUUUCUAUUUUCCUCCAUAGAUACUGGCAGCAGAUAAAAAACCACCACCAACCUCCCUUAAAUCUAGACCAAACAGCAAUGAAGAAGCUCGAAACCCUGCUGUCACCACCGCCUCAAACCAACAAUGAACCAGGAUACCACCGAAAAGCAACCCCACCAUUGCUCCGGCAGAAACAAAAUGAAACCAUGCCCUCCUUGUUUUGAUUCGGCUAUUCAGGUAUCCGGAGAUGCUUUCCAUUGGAGUAAUUCAAAUGAAGGUCGAAUUAUAUUAUUUUAUUAUUAAUUAUAUAUAUUAUCGACGUUAGGCUAAUUUUAGCUUGUGUCUUAUAUUAUUAUUUUAUUUUAUUAUUUGUGUAUGUUACAUGUUAUUAUACCUGUAUAUUAUUUUUAUCUCUUUAAUUCGAAAAAAUGAGUUCAGUCGGGA